UAAGGAAUAUUGGUCAAUGGACGCAAGUCUGAACCAGCCAUGCCGCGUGAAGGAUGAAGGUCCUCUGGAUUGUAAACUUCUUUUAUCUGGGACGAAAACGGGAUUUUUAUCUCAAUUGACGGUACCAGAGGAAUAAGCACCGGCUAACUCCGUGCCAGCAGCCGCGGUAAUACGGAGGGUGCGAGCGUUAUCCGGAUUUACUGGGUUUAAAGGGUGCGUAGGUGGGCUUAUAAGUCAGUGGUGAAAUCUCCGAGCUUAACUUGGAAACUGCCGUUGAUACUAUAGGUCUUGAAUUAUCUGGAGGUUAGCGGAAUAUGUCAUGUAGCGGUGAAAUGCUUAGAUAUGACAUAGAACACCAAUUGCGAAGGCAGCUUACUACAUAUAAAUUGACGCUGAGGCACGAAAGCGUAGGGAUCAAACA
rnacentral:rRNA from 1 species